rnacentral:rRNA from 1 species
AUUGAACGCUGGCGGCAUGCCUAACACAUGCAAGUCGAGCGGUUGAAGGUGGCUUUCUCCUGGAUUCAGCGGGGGACGGGUGAGUAAUUCCUAGGAAUCUGCCUUGCAUUGGGGGAUAACGUCCGGAUACGGGCGCUAAUACCGCAUACGAUCUCAAGUUGAAACUUGGGGAUCUUCGGACCUCAAGCUAUCUGCUUAACCUAGGUCUGAUUAGCUAGUUGGUGGGGUAAUGGCCUACCAAGGCGACGAUCCGUAACUUGUCUGAGAGGAGGAUCAGUCACACUGGAACGGAGACAGGGUCCAGCCUCUUCGGGGAGGCAGAAGUGGGGAAUAUUGGAAAUUGGGCGAAAGCCUGAUGCAGAAAUGCGGCGUGUGUGAAGAAGGUCUUCGGAUUGUAAAGUACGUUAGGUUGGGAGGAAGGGCAGUAGGUUGAUAACUUGAUGUAUUGACGGUACCAACAGAAUAAGCAACGGCUAACUACGUG